rnacentral:rRNA from 1 species
AACGCUAGCUACAGGCUUAACACAUGCAAGUCGAGGGGCAUCAGGGUAGCAAUACCGCUGGCGACCGGCGCACGGGUGAGUAACACGUAUCCAACCUACCGUUAACUCGGGGAUAGCCUUUCGAAAGAAAGAUUAAUACCCGAUAGUAUAUUUUCUUCGCAUGUUGAAAAUAUUAAAGAAUUUCGGUAAGCGAUGGGGAUGCGUUCCAUUAGAUAGUUGGCGGGGUAACAGCCCACCAAGUCUACGAUGGAUAGGGGUUCUGAGAGGAAGGUCCCCCACAUUGGAACUGAGACACGGUCCAAACUCCUACGGGAGGCAGCAGUGAGGAAUAUUGGUCAAUGGACGAGAGUCUGAACCAGCCAAGUAGCGUGAAGGAUGACUGCCCUAUGGGUUGUAAACUUCUUUUAUAAGGGAAUAAAGUGAGGGACGUGUCCCUUUUUGUAUGUACCUUAUGAAUAAGGAUCGGCUAACUCCGUGCCAGCAGCCGCGGUAAUACGGAGGAUCCAAGCGUUAUCCGGAUUUAUUGGGUUUAAAGGGAGCGUAGGUUGACAUAUAGGUCAGCUGCGAAAGUUUACGGCUCAACCGUGAAAUUGCAGUUGAUACUGUAUGUCUUGAGUGUACAAGAGGUGGGCGGAAUUCGUGGUGUAGCGGUGAAAUGCUUAGAUAUCACGAAGAACUCCGAUUG